AAUACCUUCUCAAUAUCAUAUUAUGUGAACAUAAUAAACAAGACUUCACACAUAACUAGAUCAUAAUUCAUUUUAAGUAGUUUAUACAAUUUUAUAACCAUAUUUCUUUUCAUCUUUUCAUGAUUAAGCCUAGUAGAUACAAACAUAUGUGCAAAGACUAAAGAUUAACUAACACAAGAAUCAACCCUCAACUAGAUUAAAACAAUGGAUCUUGAUGUCUUCCAUGGAUAUUUACCAAUCAAAGUAACUAGCUCAAAAACCCCAAGUCAAGCUUGAUACACAACAAUUGGAGUGAAAUUUAGGGUAUUUGAGUUGGAUUACACAUACCUUGUUCUUUAUUCUUUGAAUCUUCUAGCAAAACCCUUCAAUUCUCCAAGCCCUAAUUGCUGUUUCCUUCCUCUCUUCUUUCUCUUCCUUUUCCAGGAGAUAAUUUAUAUUUGUUUUGAUGCUAAGUGUUGCCUUGAGUCUCUUCUAUCAUAGGCUUAUAUAAGGCUAGCCCAAUUAAAACACUUUAAUUUAUUACGAAUCAAAUAUUUACAAAACUUCAUAUUAUAACCUAAAAAUUAUGUUGAUCAUAACCGUAAAGUCAAUUUUGGGUUAUUGGGCCUCUAAGACUUUCAAUUUCAAGUUCAAACGCCCUAAUUUUAAUAGAUUUUCUCCAAUAACCCACAUAUAGAAUGACAUAAUUAAAUAAUUAGUAUAUAUAAGCACAACUCCACAUGGAAUUUCACAUUAAACAUGUAAUUACUCAAAUAACUAGAGAUGUGUAAAGCAUAUACGAGAGUCGGGUUAUUAUAUUUUGUCCUUCCUUUGACAGAGAAAAAUCCCCACCUUAUUCAUGUUUUCCUCUGCAAGUCACCCACUAAGCCCAUGACUUAGCAAAAAGCUGCUCCAUCAUCUACACUGUUCAAUGUAGAUUCUCAACCUCUCUCAAAUUGCUUGCCCCCUUAAACAACCAUUGAACCCUCACUUGUCUCUACCACAUGUCACACUCUAGCUGGUCCACUUGUCGACAGGGCCCAGCAAAAAUGGGUGCAAACAAUGCCCCAUUGUUUAAGUUAAAUAAAUACCAUAUGUUCUUAACUUAAAAAAACCUACUUAUUUGGGCCAAACUUGGACUUGGAACAAAAAAACUUGUCUCCUUGGACCCGAAAUCAGAAAGAAAAACACCUACUUGCUUUGGGCCCAAAAAAUAAAAAGACCAUAGCCCAAAAUAGGAAUAAUUUAAAAUAUUGGGCCCAUUAUAAACUAUAAAAAACCAACCUUUUCAACUUCAAAUCACUUCAGCUUCAUCUUAUUUUAUCUUGGAUCCCUCAAACUAUAUUUCUUCUUUUCAACACAUCCACAUGAAAUUUAAGCACUACAAAACCCUAAGUCAUGGCACCCAAAACAUCGAAACCAGUUCAAGAAGAAGAUACCAAUGAGGGCCUCCUUCAUUUUCCCAACUCCAUUACCACCCUCAUGAAACUUGAUGUUACGCUGCUGCCAAGAACCAACUCUGUUGCCAAAGCAACCUUAGGCCCCUCAUUCUUAUCCCAUUCUCCAGGUGAACUAUCCUCAUACUAUCCUCUUGCCAAUGGGGAAAACUUACUCUUCAACUAACCCAAACUUAACUGGACUAACUGGAAUAGUAGUAAAAACCCCCUCAGACCUUGGAGAAAACUAAACCCUUCAUAGCAAAGUUGGGUCAAAAGGAUUGAAGCCAAUGACUCUAAAGUGUGGAAGCACCAAGGCAUCAAUGAGGUAAUCAGACUGUCGACUAUGAAGUAUGACAUGGACAAGUGGCUAAUUGCUGCUGCCACAUGCUUCUGGUCCCAGUCCUGCAACUCCCUUCUCCUAAGAUUUGGAAUGAUUGCUCCCACCAUUCUAGAUGUAGCUCAUUUAAUUGGCCUCCCCAUUUUAGACGAUCAAAUUCAUGCCCUACUUCAACCCCUAAAAGUGACCUUUUCAUUGAAUACCGACAUGAGCUACACUGAAUUCACCAAAAAAUAUAAGGGCAAGCUUGGUUCACAUGUCAAGGACAAGGAAAGGGUUGCCUUCUACUUAGUUUGGCUCUACCAAUUUAUGUUCUGUGUUCCUGGGUAUAAAAUUACCAAGGAAUAGCUUCCUCUUGCCUUAUGUAUUCAAGAUGGCCAAACCAUGGCCUUUCUACCCUACCUUCUUGCUACCCUUUACAAGGGUUAAUUUUCUUUUGUUGAAAAGAGGAUCUCUACUAACUGUUGUGGACCUUUCUAGUUUUUCCAAGCCUGGCUAUAUGCCUACUUUCCUGAGAUACAACCCCCACAACCUAACACCAUGAGGCCAAUCCACCACUCUUAUACUGAACAACUCCUCACAUUUGUUAGCCAACCAACCUUCAAUUUUUUCAACUACCUCACCAUGUUUUACAACCUCCUCUUCAAUAGACUUCCUACCCUUUACAGGCCAUUCCAUAAUUGCCAAUUCUGAUCCUCUAGACUACAAUUCCUUUUCACAGACCCCUUUGACCUGACCAAUGACCAAGUCCAAGCACAAAUUGAGACUUGGAGACACAUUUUAACCUAUAGACACAUCUUGGUUGGUUGCUCUAUCUCUUCCACUAAGGUGUCCAGUUGUAGCUUUGAAACCUGCUACUCCAACCUAGGUCUAGACAGUUUGCCCUUUCCCAAUGCAUACUAUUUUCUUACUUCCACCCAACCAUUCAUGAAGAAAUUGGGUCUAAAAUAAGCAUCAAAGAGGACACCCAAGCUGACUCCAUCUUGCUAGAAAGCACCAAACUUCUCAAAAACUUCAGUCCCUUCUUUUUCCAACCUACCUCAGAUUGCACCACCACUUUUGAUCACUGGUGGAAGCUCAUGGCUGCCAUCAUCUUCUUCAAACCACUUGAGGCAUGUCUUCAAGACACUUUUAUUGACAAUCAAGGCCCCACAUCACCACCUUCGAAGCUUAAAGCCACAGGUAACAUUUGCACUUCUAUUUUUACACACCUUUUAACACUAUCCAAUUUUAUAAAUACUGACUUCUUUGAUUUUGGCAGCCAAUGUUGAACCUACUGUUGAGUCCCUAAACACAAAGGCAAGGCCCCAAUGGAUCCAACCAUCCAACCAAGGGACACAGCUCCAGUCCUUAAGCUGAUGGGAGACUACCUCUCAACCCUCCAAACACAAGCAUAAAUGGUGCAAAGGAGAAUCACCACCUCUCCUCCUAUUGACAAAGAAAGAAGGACCAAGAAGGGGCAAGAACCUCAAGCCACCCUUGUCUCUGAAGCAAAUCCUAAUGAAUGGGAUAUCCCACUUAGCCAAGUUAUUGGCCAAACAAUCUCACACGCACAGAACAACUGCACCAAGUAUACUUCCCUACCAUUUUCUUGUUACAUUUCACUUCUUCUUACUCGUAUUCAACUGACACUUUCCUUUUCUCAGAGAAAGAGGAGAAUAGUACUUAUUUCCACUGUUGAUGAUGAUGACACUCUCUCUAAUUCUCCCAAGGACACUAACCAAUCUUUACUCCCUCCACCUACCAAUAAGCCUAGACAACAAACUCCAUAACCAACUCCAAAACAGCCUACACCACAACCAUCUUCAACACCUUCCUAUUCUGAACCUCCCCUUAUUGCCCUCAGAGAUGUCACUCUUGGGGCCUUUCCAAUGAAGGUUUUCUACCUAGAGGAGACUGAACCCAUUAACAUCCCUUUAGUUUUUACCCCUCAACCAUCACCAUCUGACUCUACCAACUCCCAAAUAUCCACCAGACAACCAGAGAGAAUUGACCUUGACCACUCAUCCAAUAGUCAAUCAACUCCCCCAACCAAGAAUCUUCUCCAAGGGACCAAGUCACCAAGUCUCCUCCACCUGAUCUUCCAACCAUUCAUGAUACUGAACUAGCCUCUAAUGAGCCAGACAUUACCCUCAAGGCUGCAAACACAACAACAAUCCCAAUGUAAGAAGUUGACAUUUUUACACAUGCGUCUUCUCUUCCACCAAUUCCUAAAUCAACUCAGCCUACCACAGCUGCAAUUGAGCAAAUACAACUUCCUGAGGCCACUAACCCACCAGCACACAAUCUAUCCACUGAUGAUCAGGCCAGUAUCCCAGCUUAGGACAUCUGGGAGGAAAUCACUAUCUUUCAACAAAAUCCGGACCAAAUAUCACCCCUUCCUAAAAACUUCACCACUUUCAAAUUGACACUCAACAAUUCGUAACUAGUCUCAUCAACCUCAUCAACACACCCUUAGAAGAAAUAGCCCUCAACCAACCGAAUGAGGCCUUGGUCUGUCUCACUUCUAUUCUAAACAUUUCCCCUAACCCUUUCAACUCUAUGCAAUUAAAACAACUGGCCAGAAUUACCUCAAGAUGGCCAAUUCUUUUGGAGAUGGUUCAAUCCUGCUCUAAAGACAUCCAACUCAGAAAAAACUUUCUUGCCAAAGCCCAAACCAUAUCCACCUCCCUCAAACUCACUCACCAGACUUCUUUAGCCAUCUCUGAACAAGCUACAACACUAGCACUUGAGGAGUCAAAACUUGUGCCAGAACAGGCCACUGUUAGACAAAAAAGACUCCAUCUGCAAUAGCAAAAGGACUGACUAAGCCAAGAAGCAAGGACCAUGCUUUCUCAGAUUAUAAAUGGCCUUUCAUCAAUCCAAGCUGUCAAAGUAGAACUAGACCAAGCUUAAGCUAUGCUAGCAGAUGCUCAAUCAGAUUGGGGCAUUUGGCCAUUCUCUUUCCCGAGACUUAAUCUAGUUCUUUUUGUUUUUGCUUUUUCCUUUGUAGUAUACAGGAUGUUUUACUAUCUUUUUGUAAUCAGUACAUCAUUUGCACAAACUUUUC